rnacentral:lncRNA from 1 species
AGGGAAUCAAACGUGGGGAGGAGACAUGGUUAGCCGUCCUUCAUCAAGAAGACGAAGGGGGAGUUGAUGGCGAUAUCCCCGCUUGCAUCCAGAACGUGCUAGAAGAAUUCAAGGACGUAAUGCCACCCAAGUUGCCCCGCAAGCUGCCACCCAGGCGUGGGGUGGAUCAUAAGAUCGAGUUGGAGCCAGGGGCAAAGCCACC